UAUAAUUAAUAUAAUUAAUAUAUAACCUUAUAAAAGUUGACUCAUAGAUGGUUUGGACAAGGGGAAUCUAACUAUUUAAUUAAAACAAAGAAUUUUGAUGGUCCUUUUGGAUGCUAACGCAAUGUGAUUUAUUCCCAGUGCUCUGAAUUUUAAAGUGAAGAAAUUCAACCAAGAACGGGUAAACGAUGGGAGUAACUAUGACUCUCUUAGGGUAACCACAUGCCUCAUCAUCUAAUUAGAGAUGCACAUGAAUGGAUUAUCUAGAUUCCCACUAUACCUAUAUGUUAUCUAGUGAAACCACAACCAAGGAAAUUGGAUUGG
rnacentral:ncRNA from 1 species